rnacentral:rRNA from 1 species
UACGUAGGGGGCAAGCGUUAUCCGGAAUUACUGGGUGUAAAGGGUGAGUAGGCGGCAUGGUAAGCCAGAUGUGAAAGCCUUGGGCUUAACCCGAGGAUUGCAUUUGGAACUAUCAAGCUAGAGUACAGGAGAGGAAAGCGGAAUUCCUAGUGUAGCGGUGAAAUGCGUAGAUAUUAGGAAGAACACCAGUGGCGAAGGCGGCUUUCUGGACUGAAACUGACGCUGAGGCACGAAAGCGUGGGUAGCAAACAGG